rnacentral:lncRNA from 1 species
UGGGACCCCUCUCUCUGCAGCAGAGAGAGCUAUUCUUUCUUUCGCCUGUUAAUCUUCCACUCUUAACCUCACUUCGUGUGCCUGCGUCUUUGAUUUCCUUGGCGUGAGGCAAUAAACCUCAGGUAUUUACCCCAGACAAUGACAGCACUUCAGUAAAAGGGCAAUAGGAACAACUGGCUAUGCCCCUAUGAGCAGAGCUUUAUGUUUAUGUUCCUGAGAUUCUUACAUGAGGAUUUUGUCGUCCUGUGAAUAAAAAAAAGAGGGGGGGGGGUCGUUGUUUGGUUGUUCGUUUGGUGUUUUUUUUUCUUUUUAAUUUAUUUUUUUAUUUAUAUUUUUAUUUUUAUUUUUUUAAUUUUUUUUUUUUUUUUUUUGCUAUUUGCAAAGAGAAAAACUCUAAACUCUAAAUAUGAGCUUUAUUUAUUACAUUCAGUGACAAAGCUUCCCAACUAAUCUGGAAACUCUUUGAAACGGCCCAGUGAUGUAUGGAUAGACACACCCAUUUGUGGUAGAGGUCAAGGAUAUGUUCUAACCACCAAAUGGGAAGUCUAGGCAUUUUUGUUUCUUUUUCUAUUUUUACAUAUGCGUUGUUUGAAUUCACACCAUCAACUUGAGAAUACAUUUUCAAGAACAAUAUUUUAAAAAAGCAACGACUUGUAGUAUAUUUUGAAUUUUGAAUAAUAUAUAGCUACCAGCUUUCAAUUAUAAAUCAAUGGAAAUUUUAUAUUUCUCAUUUAUUUAACACCAGAGAGAAAAGCACUUCCACAUGAUUAGAUAAAAACCCAGUUUUUGUGCUAUCAGCAUAAAAUGACCUUCAUGUUUUUCUCCCUUUUUCAGUUCUUCUGUUAUAUAAAGGAAAGAUUUCAACAGAAACUUAUGAAAGAAGACAGAUCAAAAAAAAUCCCUUAUUUGGAAGUUAAUGUGUGAUGCCAGUUCUGAGCGACUACAAUGGCUUUUAAAAUAACUUGCAUAAGCCCAGAAGUCUAUGUAACAACUUUAUGAAAUGAUCCGGGUUUUACCUCUUCUCCAUUCAGUCCAAACCAG